rnacentral:rRNA from 1 species
AUUGAACGCUGGCGGCAGGCUUAACACAUGCAAGUCGAGCGGGGGAAGGUAGCUUGCUACCGGACCUAGCGGCGGACGGGUGAGUAAUGCUUAGGAAUCUGCCUAUUAGUGGGGGACAACAUCUCGAAAGGGAUGCUAAUACCGCAUACGUCCUACGGGAGAAAGCAGGGGAUCUUCGGACCUUGCGCUAAUAGAUGAGCCUAAGUCGGAUUAGCUAGUUGGUGGGGUAAAGGCCUACCAAGGCGACGAUCUGUAGCGGGUCUGAGAGGAUGAUCCGCCACACUGGGACUGAGACACGGCCCAGACUCCUACGGGAGGCAGCAGUGGGGAAUAUUGGACAAUGGGGGGAACCCUGAUCCAGCCAUGCCGCGUGUGUGAAGAAGGCCUUAUGGUUGUAAAGCACUUUAAGCGAGGAGGAGGCUACUUUAGUUAAUACCUAGAGAUAGUGGACGUUACUCGCAGAAUAAGCACCGGCUAACUCUGUGCCAGCAGCCGCGGUAAUACAGAGGGUGCGAGCGUUAAUCGGAUUUACUGGGCGUAAAGCGUGCGUAGGCGGUUAUUAAGUCGGAUGUGAAAUCCCCGAGCUUAACU